rnacentral:rRNA from 1 species
CUAAGAAUAUUCCGCAAUGGACGGAAGUCUGACGGAGCGACACCGCGUGGAUGAAGAAGGCCGAAAGGUUGUAAAGUUCUUUUGCUAGGGGAGAAUAAGUGUGGGAGGGAAUGCAUGCACGAUGACAAGGACUAGCGAAUAAGUCCCGGCCAACUACGUGCCAGCAGCCGCGGUAACACGUAGGGGGCGAGCGUUGUUCGGAAUUACUGGGCGUAAAGGGCAUGUAGGCGGCUUGGUAAGCCUGGCGGGAAAGUCUGCAGCUUAACUGUAGGGAUGCGUUGGGAACUGCUGAGCGUG